GAUGAACGCUGGCGGCGUGCUUAACACAUGCAAGUCGAACGAUGAAAGCGAGAGCUUGCUCCUGCUGGAUUAGUGGCGAACGGGUGAGUAACACGUGAGUAACCUGCCCUUGACUCUGGGAUAAGCGUUGGAAACGACGUCUAAUACCGGAUACGACCUUCGGAGGCAUCUCCUGGGGGUGGAAAGAAUUUCGGUCAAGGAUGGACUCGCGGCCUAUCAGCUAGUUGGUGAGGUAAUGGCUCACCAAGGCGACGACGGGUAGCCGGCCUGAGAGGGUGACCGGCCACACUGGGACUGAGACACGGCCCAGACUCCUACGGGAGGCAGCAGUGGGGAAUAUUGCACAAUGAGCGCAAGCCUGAUGCAGCAACGCCGCGUGAGGGACGACGGCCUUCGGGUUGUAAACCUCUUUUAGUAGGGAAGAAGCGAAAGUGACGGUACCUGCAGAAAAAGCACCGGCUAACUACGUGCCAGCAGCCGCCGUAAAAC
rnacentral:rRNA from 1 species